UAUUUAUAAAUAACAGUAAAAUUGUCAGUUCACUGAAAUUUAACAUUCAAAAUAGUAUAUUUGUCGUGUAUAAAUUGAUAAUAUCGCUCCCGAGUUUUUGCUCCCCAAAUUAUUUCCACGAAGACAGUUUUGGAGUUUGCUGUAUAAAACACACCAUUGCUGAAAACGCAGCUUUGAUAGCAGGACAAAAAAUGGUGAGGUUGGACUGAGAAUUCUAUUUCACAACGGGCUUCCAAAGGUUGGCUUCAACGCUUCAAAAAACUUAGAUAUUCAGCAUCAGUCAGCAUCCAAGUUAAACCAAAAACUCCUGUCUACCACGGCCCACUAACUGGUUUCUACCAAAACUGUCGCGGGAUCAGGUCUAAACUUACUAACUUUAAAUGCCGACUGCAUUCAAAUUUAUUACCAAUGUCAUCCACCAAUUCACUUACAAAAAAAGUAGCUGAAAUAGUUGUUACCGAGACAGUGAAAGUAGAAAUUGAAAGGAUUUUUCAAUAAAAAUUUUAUUAUUAAUAUUAGCGGCGAGGUAUACCAUCUGAAUCCAAUUCUUCGAUAAGCGAUAGCGGCAAUUUUCAACUAGCACACCCCACUAGUUAGGUACCUAAUCAUGCUAUAAAUCUGAAAAUAAAAACAACAAUUAAUGUAAAUCCCACAGUUAACAAUUAUAAAUUAAUAACUACGGUAAUUAAUACGUAAUUAAUAAUUACGGUUAUUAGCUUAUACCUUUUUGAUUAUAACAAUCAGUUAGUUGUUUUAAUGCAUAAUUGCAUUUAUUUAGAUCUUUGCUAUUAGCUUUUGCGCAUUUUAUAAAAUUUUUCAAUUCAUCUUCACGGA